rnacentral:rRNA from 1 species
AUUGAACGCUGGCGGCAUGCUUUACACAUGCAAGUCGAACGGCAGCGCGGGCUUCGGCCUGGCGGCGAGUGGCGAACGGGUGAGUAAUACAUCGGAACGUGCCCAGUCGUGGGGGAUAGCUCGGCGAAAGCCGGAUUAAUACCGCAUACGACCUGAGGGUGAAAGCGGGGGAUCUUCGGACCUCGCGCUAUUGGAGCGGCCGAUGGCAGAUUAGCUAGUUGGUGGGGUAAAGGCCUACCAAGGCGACGAUCUGUAGCUGGUCUGAGAGGACGACCAGCCACACUGGGACUGAGACACGGCCCAGACUCCUACGGGAGGCAGCAGUGGGGAAUUUUGGACAAUGGGCGAAAGCCUGAUCCAGCAAUGCCGCGUGUGUGAUGAAGGCCUUCGGGUUGUAAAGCACUUUUGGCGGGAACGAAAAGGACUGUGCCAAUACCACGGUUCGAUGACGGUACCCGCAGAAUAAGCACCGGCUAACUACGUG